CCUACGGGGGGCAGCAGUGGGGAAUAUUGGACAAUGGACCGAGAGUCUGAUCCAGCAAUUCUGUGUGCACGAUGAAGUUUUUCGGAAUGUAAAGUGCUUUCAGUUGGGAAGAAGAAAAUGACGGUACCAACAGAAGAAGUGACGGCUAAAUACGUGCCAGCAGCCGCGGUAAUACGUAUGUCACGAGCGUUAUCCGGAUUUAUUGGGCGUAAAGCGCGUCUAGGUGGUUAUAUAAGUCUGAUGUGAAAAUGCAGGGCUCAACUCUGUAUUGCGUUGGAAACUGAAUAACUAGAGUACUGGAGAGGUAAGCGGAACUACAAGUGUAGAGGUGAAAUUCGUAGAUAUUUGUAGGAAUGCCGAUGGGGAAGCCAGCUUACUGGACAGAUACUGACGCUAAAGCGCGAAAGCGUGGGUAGCAAACAGGAUUAGAUACCCUAGUAGUC
rnacentral:rRNA from 1 species